rnacentral:rRNA from 1 species
UAGGGAAUCUUCCGCAAUGGGCGAAAGCCUGACGGAGCAACGCCGCGUGAGUGAAGAAGGAUUUCGGUUCGUAAAGCUCUGUUGUUAGGGAAGAAUGAUUGUGUAGUAACUAUACACAGUAGAGACGGUACCUAACCAGAAAGCCACGGCUAACUACGUGCCAGCAGCCGCGGUAAUACGUAGGUGGCAAGCGUUGUCCGGAAUUAUUGGGCGUAAAGCGCGCGCAGGUGGUUUAAUAAGUCUGAUGUGAAAGCCCACGGCUCAACCGUGGAGGGUCAUUGGAAACUGUUAAACUUGAGUGCAGGAGAGAAAAGUGGAAUUCCUAGUGUAGCGGUGAAAUGCGUAGAGAUUAGGAGGAACACCAGUGGCGAAGGCGGCUUUUUGGCCUGUAACUGACACUGAGGCGCGAAAGCGUGGGGAGCAAACAGGAUUAGAUACCCUGGUAGUCCACGCCGUAAACGAUGAGUGCUAAGUGUUGGUCUCAUAAGAGAUCAGUGCUGCAGCUAACGCAUUAAGCACUCCGCCUGGGGAGUACGACCGCAAGGUUG